UGGGAUAUAUCUCAGUUGGUAGAGUACUUGCCUCACAUACAGAAGGCCCUGGGUUCACACCCUAGCACCUCAA
rnacentral:tRNA from 1 species